rnacentral:rRNA from 1 species
CCCAAAGGACUUGGCGGUGCUUUAGACCCCCCUAGAGGAGCCUGUUCUAGAACCGAUAACCCCCGUUCAACCUCACCCCCUCUUGUUCUCCCCGCCUAUAUACCGCCGUCGUCAGCUUACCCUGUGAAGGACUAAUAGUGAGCGUAAUUGGCACAGCCCAAAACGUCAGGUCGAGGUGUAGCGUAUGAGGGGGGAAGAAAUGGGCUACAUUCACUGGUCCAGUGAAAACGGACGAUAACUUGAAACGCUUAUCUGAAGGAGGAUUUAGCAGUAAGAGGGCACUAGAGCGCCCCUC